UACGGAGGGUGCAAGCGUUAUCCGGAUUCACUGGGUUUAAAGGGUGCGUAGGUGGGAAUGUAAGUCAGUGGUGAAAUCUCCGUGCUUAACAUGGAAACUGCCAUUGAUACUAUGUUUCUUGAAUUUUCUGGAGGUAAGCGGAAUAUGUCAUGUAGCGGUGAAAUGCUUAGAUAUGACAUAGAACACCAAUUGCGAAGUCAGCUUACUACAGGGACAUUGACACUGAGGCACGAAAGCGUGGGGAUCAAACAGG
rnacentral:rRNA from 1 species